GAUGAACGCUGGCGGCGUGCCUAAUACAUGCAAGUCGAGCGAAUGGAUUAAGAGCUUGCUCCUAUGAAGUUAGCGGCGGACGGGUGAGUAACACGUGGGUAACCUGCCCAUAAGACUGGGAUAACUCCGGGAAACCGGGGCUAAUACCGGAUAAUAUUUUGAACUGCAUGGUUCAAAAUUGAAAGGCGGCUUCGGCUGUCACUUAUGGAUGGACCCGCGUCGCAUUAGCUAGUUGGUGAGGUAACGGCUCACCAAGGCAACGAUGCGUAGCCGACCGGAGAGGGUGAUCGGCCACCCUGGGACUGAGACACGGCCCGGACUCCUACGGGAGGCAGAAGUAGGGAAUCUUCCGCAAUGGACGAAAGUCUGACGGAGCAACGCCGCGUGAGUGAUGAAGGCUUGCGGGUCGUAAAACUCUGUUGUUAGGGAAGAACAAGUGCUAGUUGAAUAAGCUGGCACCUUGACGGUACCUAACCAGAAAGCCACGGCUAACUACGUGCCAGCCGCCGCAGUAA
rnacentral:rRNA from 1 species